GCGAGGGUGGCGGAACUGGUAGACGCACCAGACUUAGGAUCUGGCGCUUUGGCGUGGGGGUUCGAUUCCCCCCUCUCGCACCA
rnacentral:tRNA from 1 species